rnacentral:rRNA from 1 species
CCGAGGGACGAAACUCGGAGGAAGGUGGGGAUGACGUCAAAUCAUCAUGCCCCUUAUGUCCUGGGCUACACACGUGCUACAAUGGCUGGUACAAAGAGACGCAAGACCGCGAGGUGGAGCAAAUCUCAAAAAACCAGUCCCAGUUCGGAUUGCAGGUUGCAACUCGCCUGCAUGAAGUCGGAGUUGCUAGUAAUCGCAGAUCAGCAUACUGCGGUGAAUACGUUCCCGGGCCUU